AGACCAAAGGAGCACCACGUGAAGUCAGCAACGUGGAAGGAUUCCUAAGGGCCAGCAAACCUAAAAAAUGAAAUGGGUGACUGUCUGGAUGUUUGCUUGCUUGCUGAUUACAUCUCUAACCAGAGGUCAACCAGAUGUGACAUGCCAUGCAUUUGUGGGAGAAACUGUUGUGUUGCCUUGCAGCAUCACCCCUCCAGAAGAGCUGAACAUUUCCUACUCGAAGCUCUACUGGCAGAAAGAGGAUGACUUAGUGCAUUUCUUUCAUGAAGGGUGCAAUGAUCUGAAGUUUCAGGAUAAGCAAUACGAAGGCAGAACCAGUCUUUUUUCAAGUGAGGUGAAGCACGGCAACUUUUCCUUAAAGCUCUCCAACGUCCAGCCACAGGAUGAAGCUGUGUAUAGUUGCAUCUACAGCCAGUCUGGGCAUCAAACACAGAAAUUUAAAAUUAAGCUCGAAGUAUCAGGUAAGAAUUUUUUCUUAAUUCGGAGGUAAGGAGCUGAGGGCAGCAUUUCUUGCUGACAAGCCACAUACAGCAAUUGAUUUGGCUCAACUUUUAAAGCAAAUCUUCACUCAGCUUCUCUCUAUUCCUUCCUUUUCUUGGAAAAAAAUGUAAAGGGAAUUGAAUAAAGCAUCUUUGAUAUGCAUCAGCACAAAAUGUCUGCAGAAGUAGCAGGAUUCCCAAGGACUCCACGCUGCCUGGCUCCUCCUCCUCCCUAGAUACUUUAAUGAGCUCUCCCAGACUUGUAAGCAUUUGGUUACUGAAGGCUCUGUACUGCCCAGGAUUCAUUUUGUCCCCAGAGAAAUGCAAAGUUUAUUUCAUUAUUUGUUCUUGCAUCUGUGAAGCAGAUUGCUGGCAAUCCAAAGUCCACGUUCCAAACAAGACGGUUGCUAAUUACCUUUUCCCUGGUCUGGAAGGCCUGGAUCUGAUUGCAAGGCUGGACUCCUACCAUGAGGAUAUUAUUUUUCUUCCUAGGAAAGCAACCAAGACCACAACACGUGCUUAAACAAUGCCAAGCAACUCAAGCAAUUUGCUUGCAUUGCCUACACGUGUAGCCAGUGAAUGGUGGGCUAUUUGGUUUGACCAGCUGACUGACUAAAAAAAGCAAAUUAAGAAAGGGGAUAAAAAUCAAAAUAAAUCCUUGUCUGUUAAGGUUGCUUGAAGAGAUCAGCUGGAAACCUUCGUUGCGGUCAACCACGCAUUUCAUUCAGCUUGAAACAAAGACUUGGUUUCAAGCAAUAUGAACUCUUUAAUAUCCUUGUUUUAAAGCAUGUAAUUCUCAAGAGACAAAUGUUUUAGAAAUGUAAACUGAAAUACUAGCAAAAUUAAUGUGCUACAUCUUUCAAAAUUAAUUUUUUAUUUUUAUUUUAUUUUAUUUUAUUUAUUUAUUUGAAAAUGCAGAACCAAACUGUUUUCAUCAAUUCAUUUUUGGGAGCUGUAAAGCAUCUUUUCCUCUGAUUUAAUUUUGUAACCAAAUUUAAGCUUUUGUUUGACAAAUGUUCUUUCUCAGAAGAAAUACUAACCCUUAAAUUGAUUACUGGUCCUAUUUCCUAAGCUAAAACAAAUAACUUUGAUUAUUGUGGGUUGUUUUUCCCAGACUCACCUAGCAUUGAGGAGAAACAUCAGUCUUCCAGUAAGGCAAUAAUCCUUUACCUGCUAAGUGCCUAAGCAAUUAGCUUUAAUCAAUUAAAUUAUUUGAAUUUGAAUUUGAGAGAGAGAUAAGCUGUGCUGAAUAGAGAAAGUCCAAGACACAUCAAACAAAAUACAAACUUAGGUACAGCUCCUUGAACAGGGAAAAACAUCUUCACCACUAACACAGAGGGAGACCACAGAAACAAACAUACUGAAGUGCCAGUGGUCUCCAUAAAGUCAUAACAUUGAGUGGGAAGGGAACCUUAAUGGCCAUUUAACCCAAUUCCCCUGCAAUGAAUAGGGACACCUACAUCUACAUCAGGUUGCUUCAGCCUGACCUUGAAUGUUCCCAUGAAUGGGGCAUCCACCACCGCUCUGGGCAACCUGUGCCAGAGCCUCACCACCUAUACUGUAAAAAAAUUCUUCCUUGGAUAAAUUCCCCCCAUUUAGUUUGAAACUAUUUCCCCUUGUCCUAUCACCAUUGACCCUGCUAAAUAUUCUGUGUAUUUAGUUGUGUAAAUACAAUAGAGAAAGGCUGUCCGGCAUGUAGACGCCUUCAGAUUAAUACUUCCUAGGCAAAAAAAAAAAAAAUACUUUAAAAAUUAAAGGCAGCGUUCUUUUUAUCAUAGAAUCAUAGAAUGGCCUGGGCUGAAAAGGACCACAAUGAUCAUCCAGUUUCAACCACCCUGCUAUGUGCAGGGUCGCCAACCACCAGACCAGGUUGCCCACCAGCCUGGCUUUGAAUGCCUCCAGGGAUGGUGCAUCACAACCUCUUUGGGCAGAGAUUUUAAACCUACAAGAUAACUCAUCUUGCAGGCUUAGAGGUCUUUAAAGCAUAUGAAAUUACAUUUAAGAUGGCAUCAUACACCUUCAGUGGCACAGCACUACAGAAGAACCUUGUAAAGGCAGAUAGAACAGGAGCCUGAAUAUCUCUGGCUGUCACCUCCCAUAGGAAAUAUGGUAUAAUCAAGGGUCAAACUGUUUAAUGUUGUAACAAGGGAACUUUCUGAAAACAAAUGGUAAAUAGUGGGGGUGUAAAAAUGGCUGCAUUUCAAUGAGAUAAUUGUAUAUUUUUUUGGCUUGGUUGAAAACUCUGGCAACUUUUGUUUCCUCAACAGAAACAAUAAUUAACAUGAAAAGGUAUUUUCAAUUGAGGAAGAAGAANNNNNNNNNNNNNNNNNNNNNNNNNNNNNNNNNNNNNNNNNNNNNNNNNNNNNNNNNNNNNNNNNNNNNNNNNNNNNNNNNNNNNNNNNNNNNNNNNNNNACAUUUAAACAGAAAAAUGGUGUAAAAGGCAACAUUCAAGGG
rnacentral:lncRNA from 1 species